GCGUCAUUGGUUUAGUGGUAUAAUGGCGGGUUGCCAUCCUGUCGACACGGGUUCGAUUCCCGUAUGACGCA
rfam:Vittaforma corneae ATCC 50505 unplaced genomic scaffold supercont1.6, whole genome shotgun sequence.